rnacentral:piRNA from 1 species
UGCUACUUUUUAGAAGCUGCAUCCAGAUCU